UGUGAAGAUGGACAAGAAGUUUGGAAGUGUACACCUUUUCGUCAUGGAAUACUGCCCUGCAGGGGAUAUCCACACUCUUAGACUGAGACAACCAGGGAACAAGCAAUGAAAUAGCUUCACUGUGAGGCAAGAGGAUGCACGAGCUACUAAAAGAAGAGUUGAUUCUGUGAUGAAACAUAUCAUUCAGGACUAUGGUAUAUAAAGGUCAGGUAUAUGACAGUUUUUGAAGCAGACUGAACCUCAAACUGCUAUCUGCCUCACUCCACUGUCUUUUUGAAAAGUUGGGUUACAGAAAAACAAGAAUCUAGACGACGCACGAUGCUUUGAAAAGGUAUUUUGUCAACCACGGUGUCACCAGCUACAACGGUAACUGCAAAGAACAAGAGACUGCCAAUGGCAUAGUAGCCGGUGCGUUACUAUUUUGCCUUUUGCCAAUACCAGUUUUGGUCAAUAUGUAAAAAAUGUGCAUAUAUACAUAAACAGUGCGAACAUGAAUGUAUAUAUGGCUACCGUCAAAACAAUAUGCUUCAGCUAGGCAAUACUUUCUUCUGUCAAUAUAUAAAUAAAAUGUGUAACAGUUUAAAC